AAUAUUUUUUGAAAAACUUCCCCUCAAAAUUUCCCUCUGAAAAAACCCUACUCCCUGCGAUAUCCCUCAGAAGUCAUAACAAUAACAUUCAAGUUCAUUUUUCCCUCCUCAAUUUCUCUAUCUCAUCCAAAUCCCUCCACCCCAACCGUGAACCUCAAACACCUUCAGGAAAAGCAGUAUGAAUUAUAACCUAGAGCCACCAACAAAGGUUUCUUCUAAUCUAAGGUUGCACAACUCAUAUGCUGCUCUAUUAAGAAGGAAAGAUAACAAUGCUUAUUGUCUGUUGUUGCCUUCCACACCUCCAUUGUUGAAAUGUACUGACAGCUAUGCUAGUUGAUUAGCUGAAAAAUAAGGUUGUACACAUGUGAUUGGCCUGUGUUCGUGCGAUAUGGAGUCAUAGUGAGAAGGUCUAGUGCGUGGCAUCUUAUGUUGAUGGAAGAUAACUCCUGGAAUAGUUCAGUUGGUUGCUCUACUGCAUAAAGAUGAUGCUACUGGGAAAUAGCAGAAUUGGAGAGGAAGCUGCUAAAGGGAAGUGGCAGAAAGAGUGGAAUUUGAGGGGAAGCUGCUAAAGGGAAGCAACGGAAAGAGUGGAAGAAAGAGUUGUGGAAGUGAAGAAGUCUCUUGUUGCUGAACUAGUUGCAUUUUACAUGAAUCGAGACUAAUAGUUUGUUCCAAGCAUUAUUCAAUUAUAAAGACGUACAAUUAUGCACAACUUCAUUCUUGGAAUUAGUUAUAAAGAUCUUUUAUAUACAAAUAGUUUAUUUCGCUUCACAUUCUCUAUGUUGAAUGACAUUUGUAAGUAUAUA